UGCCAGCAGCCGCGGUAAGACGGAGGGUCCUAGCGUUGUUCGGAAUCACUGGGCUUAAAGGGCGUGUAGGCGGCGAUUUAAGUCGGAUGUGAAAUCUCUCGGCCUAACCGGGAAACUGCAUCCGAAACUGGAUUGCUAGAGUGCGGGAGGGGCAAGUGGAACUCCAGGUGUAGCGGUGAAAUGCGUAGAUAUCUGGAGGAACGCCGGUGGCGAAAGCGACUCACUGGCUCGCAACUGACGCUGAGGCGCGAAAGCUAGGGGAGCGAACAGGAUUAGAUA
rnacentral:rRNA from 1 species